rnacentral:rRNA from 1 species
GACGAACGCUGGCGGCGUGCUUAACACAUGCAAGUCGAACGGAAAGGCCCCUUUGGGGGUCCUCGAGUGGCGAACGGGUGAGUAACACGUGAGUAACCUGCCCCUGACUUCGGGAUAACGUCAGGAAACUGGGGCUAAUACCGGAUAGGAAUCCUUGCUGCAUGGUGGGGGUUGGAAAGCUUCGGCGGUUUUGGAUGGACUCGAGGGUUAUCAGCUUGUUGGUGGGGUAGUGGCUUACCAAGGCUGUGACGGGUAGCCGGCCUGAGAGGGCGACCGGCCACCUUGGGACUGAGAGGAGGCCCAGACUCCGACGGGUGGCAGAUGGGGGGAAUAUUGCACAAGGGGCGGAGGGCUGAUGCAGCAACGCCGCGGGCGGGAUGACGGCCUUCGGGUUGAAAACCGCUUUCAGCAGGGGCGAAGCUUGUGGUGACGGUACCUGCAGAAGAAGCACCGGCUAACUACGUG